rnacentral:rRNA from 1 species
GAUGAACGCUGGCGGCGUGCCUAAUACAUGCAAGUCGAGCGAACAGACGAGGAGCUUGCUCCUCUGACGUUAGCGGCGGACGGGUGAGUAACACGUGGAUAACCUACCUAUAAGACUGGGAUAACUUCGGGAAACCGGAGCUAAUACCGGAUAAUAUAUUGAACCGCAUGGUUCAAUAGUGAAAGACGGUUUUGCUGUCACUUAUAGAUGGAUCCGCGCCGCAUUAGCUAGUUGGUAAGGUAACGGCUUACCAAGGCAACGAUGCGUAGCCGACCUGAGAGGGUGAUCGGCCACACUGGAACUGAGACACGGUCCAGACUCCUACGGGAGGCAGCAGUAGGGAAUCUUCCGCAAAGGGCGAAAGCUUGACGGAGCAACGCCGCGUGAGUGAUGAAGGUCUUCGGAUCGUAAAACUCUGUUAGUAGGGAAGAACAAAUGUGUAAGUAACUAUGCACGUCUUGACGGUACCUAAUCAGAAAGCCACGGCUAACUACGUG